CCCACAUUGUGACAUAUGUAUGUCUUGCAUGAUAACUUUGCAACAGAACCAUGAGUGAGGUAAAGAAAAGAUAACAAAAAAAAUCAAACAUAAUUGCAGGGCACUUAAAACAAACACCAUUGCUUGAGAGAACUGCAUAACUUGGGAGAUGCCACAUUGUGAGGUGUAAUUGAAGUAGGUGCCCCCAGCCUUUCUCCUCUGUGUGGAGUGUACAAGUGAUCAUUCUUUAUAUAUCAGGUAACAUCACUGAUGACUGCCAGGUGACUGCCUGAUAUAAAUGUAAAAAAUAAAAAAACAAUUUACCUGCCACUUGUAGGAUUCCAUCG